rnacentral:lncRNA from 1 species
UACCAUCGCCAUUCUUCUUGUGUUUAACAUCAAUGCCAUUGCCCUCAGCUCACGUCACAGUGUAAUUUUUUGUGUGUUUCAUCAUCUGUGUAGCUGUCAUCGUCCCAGUCAUCUUCCCAGCUGCCCCCCCCGCUGACUCAGUGGUAAAAUCCACACACCAAUGCACCAUCUUCGAGCCAACCCUGGGGAAAAACUGACCAUCCACAGCCUUCGCAUCACGGGGCACAAAGUAGGGCCAGAGUGAGGGGGCGAGGAGGAGAAAGAGGAGGAAGGAGCGAUGAAAUUGGUGGAUGCAGGGGGGGAAGGAGCGUCACCGGCUGCCCCAUCAGCACAUCCUCACUGACAGCCGUUGGCCUGUCUGUCAGCAGUCCUCAGUGGCCCGUGGAGGGACACGGGCCUUCCCUUUCCCCCAAGGAGCCGGUGGCCCCAGACAAAGUCACCAAUACUUAGGGCCACCACCAAACCCCAAGAGCCUGCAAGGUCCACUGCACAAAUCCCCCUCAGCGCCGACCAGUCCGUUAAUACACACCGACUAUCUGCCCCAGCUCCCUGUGUGGUCCUCCUCCACAGCCACUGCGAAGAGAAAGAGGAAACGGUAAAGAGAGACGACAUCUCUGGAGCCGCUCUGCCUGCUGCCUGCAGUCUCCUCUCCUGUAUCUUUGGGGGAGAUCCAAAGAGACUGGCUUCUUCCUCGUGGCUGUUGUAUCAGGAGAAGGGGUUGAAAGAAGGGUGUAAUAUGCACAUCUGCCCAAAAGUCAAAGCUCUGUCCUCCUACUUGGACCAAGACAUCAGCUUCUUUUUUGAACUUUAGGCUUGCUUCUUGUGAUAGAAAAAAAUGCCAGUAGUGUCUCAGAGUGUAGCAGAGCUGAUCUAGCAUCUCUGAGCAGGUUUUGCCAUCCCCUUACUCAAGCUGAUUCACAAAGUCAAACUGAUCCGAGGUC